rnacentral:rRNA from 1 species
AUUGAACGCUGGCGGCAUGCUUUACACAUGCAAGUCGAACGGCAGCGCGGGCUUCGGCCUGGCGGCGAGUGGCGAACGGGUGAGUAAUUCAUCGGAACGUGCCCAGUAGUGUGGUCUUGCCCGGCGACAGCCGGAUUAAUACCGCAUACGACCUGAGGGUGAACGCGGGGGACCGAAAGGCCUCGCGCUAUUGGAGCGUCCGAUGUCGGAUUAGCUAGUUGGUGGGGUAAAGGCUUACCAAGGCGACGAUCCGUAGCUGGUCUGAGAGGACGACCAGCCACACUGGGACUGAGACACGGUCCAGACUCCUACGGGAGGCAGCAGUGGGGAAUUUUGGACAAUGGGGGCAACCCUGAUCCAGCCAUGCCGCGUGCGGGAAGAAGGCCUUCGGGUUGUAAACCGCUUUUGUUCGGGAAGAAAACCUCUGGGCUAAUACCCCGGGGGGAUGACGGUACCGGAAGAAUAAGCACCGGCUAACUACGUG